AAUGCCCCAUGGUGAUGUCCUCAGGCAUCUGAGGUCAUCUAAAGAUCCGUCGGAUGGGGAUAGGCUCGCGUGACAUUAGCUAGACGGCGGGGUAACGGCCCACCGUGGCGACGAUGUCUAGGGGUUCUGAGAGGAAGGUCCCCCACACUGGAACUGAGACACGGUCCAGACUCCUACGGGAGGCAGCAGUGAGGAAUAUUGGUCAAUGGCCGGAAGGCUGAACCAGCCAUGCCGCGUGAAGGUCAGUGCCCUAUGGGCGUUAAACUUCUUUUGUGCGGGAGCAAUAAUGGUCACGUGUGGCCAGACGAGAGUACCGUACGAAUAAGCAUCGGCUAACUCCGUGCCAGCAGCCGCGGUAAUACGGGGGAUGCAAGCGUUAUCCGGAUUUAUUGGGUUUAAAGGGUGCGUAGGCUGUGAGGUAAGUCAGCGGUGAAAUGCCCCCGCUCAACGGGGUGAAGUGCCAUCGAUACUGCCUUGCUGGAAUGCGGAUGCCGUGGGAGGAAUGUGUGGUGUAGCGGUGAAAUGCAUAGAUAUCACACAGAACACCGAUUGCGAAGGCAUCUCACGAAUCCGCGAUUGACGCUGAUGCACGAAAGCGUGGGUAUCAAACAGGAUUAGAUACCCUGGUAGUCCACGCUGUAAACGAUGAUGACUAACCGUCGGCGAUACACAGUCGGUGGCCAAGC
rnacentral:rRNA from 1 species